UUUGUAACACCAGUUCUCAUACAAACAACGAAGUUAAGCAACGUCGAGUCUGGUCAAUACCUAGAUGGGUGACUGCACAGGAAUAUCGGGUGCUGUAAG